GGGCUCUUGGCGCAGCUGGUAGCGCGUUCGCUUCGCAUAGUGACUUGUGUGCGAAAGGUCGUUGGUUCGAUUCCUACAGUGUCCA